UCCCUGUUGCCAGGGCAGUCUGAUUAGAAAAAUUCAACUAAUCACAAGGGUUGCGCUCGUUGAUGGACUUAACCAAACAUCUCACGACACGAGCUGACGACGGCCAUGCAUCACCUGUCACUUGGUUCUAAAAGCACACUCUGCUUUCGCAGAGCUUCCAAGGAUGUCAAGCCUGGGUAAGGUUCUUCGUUUAUCGUCGAAUUAAACAACACGCUCCACCGCUUGUGCGGGUCCCCGUCAAUUCCUUUAUGUUUUAGUCUUGCGACCGUACUCCACAGGCGGGAUGCUUAACGCGUUAGCUUCGCCACGUCCGGGGUCGAUACCGAACACGGCUAGCAUCCAUCGUUUACGGCAUGGACUAC
rnacentral:misc_RNA from 1 species